GGUUUUAUUUUUUGAUAAUUCAGUCUAACGGUUUCCCAUUUCUGUCUCGUAAAGGCCAAAAGUAAUUCACUUCAUAUGUGCCCGAAAGUGCGCGUGCUUGUAUCUUGCCCUUAUCAAAACAAACAGUAGAAUGCUUAUCCAUAAAUAAAUAGUUAAAAAUGACGUCAUGAAAUGGUUUGUCGAGUUCUCUAGCGUUUUUGUUGAACGUUUUCGUAAAGUGAUAUCAAGCGUUGUUUAAUUUAGAUGCUAUGAUACGGGAUAAGGUUACAAAAUACUUUCACAUUUAAUCUAGUUUCUUUCGUACAUUAAAAUAUUGUAAUUUGAAAGGAUCUUCCACGUAUAAAGCAUCAGGAGCAGUUAAAACACUCCCGAAGUCAGCUCGGUGAUUAGAACAUUGGGUGACACGGGACCACCCGAACAAACGGAAGUUUUGGGGCGGAGGGGGGUUAACCAAGGAAAUGCGAGAUAAAGACACAAGAUUCAAUUCAAACGAGAGAAAACAGAAGGGGUUUCCCUUUUGUACGAGGAAUUCCUUUUAUUUGGAAUAGUUGUGGGACCAGAUUGCAAAUGGAUUCUGGCGAAAUGUGUUCGUGUAAAUCAAUGAGAGGCUUUCUUUGUAUAGGACUAUUGGGAUCGUUAUAUUAUUAUAACCGGAGAUUCGGCAAGCUGAAUUUGCAGUGGUUUAAAAAUAUAUGCCGUAGAAACUAUCGCUGGAGAAGACUGGGUUCUUGAGUGGGAAUCACGCACCGGCAAACUUAGUGUGGGAUGGGAUACCCACCGUUCCGCUGGAACCAUGAAUUGUGAAAGCGGCACGAGCGCCUGAUCGAACGAAAACAUUGUAAAGUCUUGAUCUCGAAGAAUAUUAGAGAAUGGAAGCGCUAUGAAAAUCACGCAACACAGAAUUCACGACAGUGAAACUAGCAACUCACGAUCAAUGUGCGAUUAAUGGCAAAUACUAAAAUUGACAGAUCCUAAAAAUUCAAUUAUAAAUACAAUUAAACAUACAA